rnacentral:rRNA from 1 species
UACGUAUGGUGCAAGCGUUAUCCGGAUUUACUGGGCGUAAAGGGAGCGCAGGCGGCGCGCCAAGUCUGAUGUGAAACCCCGGGGCUCAACCCCGGGCAUGCAUUGGAAACUGGCGGGCUGGAGUGCCGGAGAGGUAAGCGGAAUUCCUAGUGUAGCGGUGAAGUGCGUAGAUAUUAGGAGGAACACCAGUGGCGAAGGCGGCUUACUGGACGGCAACUGACGCUGAGGCUCGAAAGCGUGGGGAGCAAACAGG